UUAUUGGUAUUUUGCAAAAAUAUUAAAAUUAAGGAGCAUUCCAGGAAUUUUAAAAUGAAUCACCUUUGCUUAAAAACUAUAUACAAUUAUAGUAGAUUGCAUCUGGGAACGAGCCCAGAAAAUGGAGGACUGCUGGUUUAAAGAGCAGGGGAAAAAGUGUGCAGUUGCUACUCUGUGAUUUCUCCACAGGAAAGUCCUUACAGCUCUGCCAGAGCUGAGGAGCUCCUGGGACUGUGCCCCUCCCUUAGCCUCUGGCUGAAAUUCAGAGGUAGGAGACUGGACUGUUCAAGCCAAAAACAAACAUACAUUUUACUCCAGAAUGAGAGAGUUUUCAGAGCAAACUGUUUCUAGAAGCAAGAAGAAAUCACUCCUCCAAUUAGCUUUAAUUUCAGGGUCAUUCCCAUGGCGAUUCGAGGCUUUUGCCCUCGCAGCUGAGAUUGCCGUCCUCCAAUCACUUGCUCGCGCUUCAGUGGAGGGCUUACUUCCGGUUUAGUGUCUUCUGUGAGUUAGGCAACCUGCUAUUUUCAUGAGUGUCUGGGAAUUCUUCAGCGGAGUAUGAAUUCUUCCAAAUUCCAGGUCUAUUGUCCUUGCCUAUGACCUUUAGCCCCGGUUUAAGACUUUUCAGUCUCCUGUGUUUAGCUUCGGGACAUUCUGCCAGAGCUAAUGCUUCAAAGCCUUUUGAGCGUUGGCAUGAGUAGUCAGCCUUACCCCUGGAGGGCCGUUUGCUCUUUUUGCUAUAACUAGUAGAGAUGAGAGUAAACGUGCUCCUUUACCAAGGCAGAGUGUUUACCAAGACUACAUCGAAAAUCAUAAUGCUGGAUUUGUGACGUCACCCUCAAUUGUUUCCAGACGGCUUCUCCGGCUGAUCAAAAAGAAGACGAGGCCAGUGUAUGCGCAUGGGGAAGUAGAUCUUCAAACAGAAAGAGGGUUCAGGAAUAAAAACUGUAAUAAUAAUAUGGAGAUCACAAAAUAACCGUAGGUGACUGAAAGACCCCUGGAGCGGGGAGACCCUC
rnacentral:sRNA from 1 species